GGCUGUGCGUUUCGUCCCAUGUAGAAAUACUUCACAACAGUAAAAGUGAUCAUCAUGGUGAAGUCUGAGCUUCUUCAUUGCAGUCCAAUGUGCUGUGCAUUGCGAUUUGUUGCAGCCAGCUGGCGAAAGGUGUUCUUCUUGCAGGCUUGCUACCUGUUCUGUUUGUAGCGUUCGUCACAUGCAGAAGCACUUCCAAACAAUUUAAAAUUUCAUGGCCAGUUUUAUGUUUGAGCUGUUUGCGGUGUUUCUGUAUGGGGUGCAGUGGUUUUGCGGUCCUUUUCCAGUUGAGAGAUGCGCUGAAAUGUAGCUUGUGCAGACUUGCAGUUGAACAUCAUACUCUAAUGGGUCAUUUGCCUAUGUUGGUGUCCAUGCAGUAUAUGCAGUGUUGUGAAAAAUAGUCGAUGUUGCCUGAUGGCUGUCGGGCUUAUUUUAUCGGCAGCCGUUAUGUCGUCUCUUGCUACCUGUAUCGCCGUUGAGGUAAUGCUUGAUGUACAGUCUGCUUUAAUUACUGACUUUUAGUUAAUAUCUCCGUUUUCAUUUCAGUUUGUUUGCCGCCGUUCCUUAGACUUGCUCCACCGGUGAAAUCAAGAAGACGUUGCUGAAUUCAAGAUUGAUCAAUAAAUUAUGUAUAUAAAUUACAAGUGCAUAAUCUGGGCUCCCUUCUUCAGUGGCCCCGUUUCCCUAAAUAACCACUAACCAACGCCCGCCGGUGGUCACUCAC